rnacentral:lncRNA from 1 species
CCUCUAGGGAUCUAAUGAGGGUAUUUUUCCGCUGUGAUGAGUCAUUGUUGCACCUUAUCAUAGUAAUCAGCUUAUUUACUUACCUCUCCAAGAAUUGUUUGAAUUGUGACAUGUGUGUUCCUUGUAGAAAAUUUUCUGGAACUUGAGAAUCAUGGUAACACAGAAGUGGAGUGGCAUCCGUCAGUCAUCUCUAGCUCCACCUUAUGUCAAGGGAGUUGAUGACAGUGGAGAUGUUUUCAGAGCUACCUAUGCAGCAUUCACAUGUUCUACUAUUUCUGGUAUACUGGAAAGCUGAGGAAUUCAGACUCAAUUCACACAUUAUUGAGUCUUGACAUUUUUUCAUAGCCAUUGGCAAGAACAUGGUGGUGAUUGGCCAGGAAU